GCGCGGUCGUGCGGCGGCGCGGUCGUGCGGUCAUGUGAUGGGCCUUUAACCAACUCCGCCGCCGCUAAAACUUUACACUUUUACAACGUUUGAAAUAAACCCAAGAUCUGCUGAAUGUUGUUGAUAAAAAUCCAAGUCUUAACUCCACAUUAACUUGUUUUUGAUGCUUUUUUUGUGACUUAAAGCUGCACUGUGUGACAUUCCUCCUGCUCGUCUCCGUGGAAACGCUGUGGUUUUUGUCCAGAAUGUCGUCGUUCUCUGUUUUUCUGCUUUGGACCGACACAAACCGUCCAGCAGUGUCAGGGAGUAACAGAUUACAAGUACCAGAGUAAUCAGAGUACAAAUGAUGAGUAACUGUAUUCAGUUACAGUUACUGUUUCAGUGAGUGGUAAUUGGAUUACAGUUACUUUGUUCAAAUAAAUGGAUUACACAGAGGAUUUAACAGUUUUCACAUUUUGGGCUAAGCCAGGACUAAACCAGGACUAAACCAGGACUAAACCAGGUCUAAACCAGGACUAAACCAGGACUAAAUCCUGCUGUGUGGACGUGUUUCUUCGUUUUCUAUCAAUAAUAUUUUUAAUUUGGUUCAACAAAAUUUUGACUUUUUAUUUUCUUUUAUCAGACAAAACUUCUUAUGUUUCUCGACAGCAAAUCAAAAGUAAUCAGAUUACAUUACUCACUUUAAGUAAUUUAAUGGUUUCCGUUACAAACUACAUUCUGGGGGAUGUAAUCUGUAAUCUGUAGGGGAUUACAUUUUAAAAGUCACCUUCCCAACACUGUCGUCCAAACAGAAGAAACGCUCAGUGUUUAAAACGACACCAUGGAACAUUCCAGGUAAAACCGUCACGUCUCCAUGGAGACCAGCAGGACUGUCCGCCAGAGAAGUUCCGCAGUGCAGCUUUAAAUGUUUCCACGGUGCCUCUGUUCACGUCACUGACACUUAAUUUAAAUAUAAAACAUGAGUUUGUUUUCAUGGAAACGUCAGAUUCUUGUCGUAUUAAACUCGUGUGAGACUCAAA